rnacentral:sRNA from 1 species
CGUUGUCUUCGGACAACCACCAAUGGUCAUGUAGCUUGAGAUGACCGCCUUCGGGUAGCUGCAAAAGAACACUUCCCAAGCCUGAAAGGAAGUACACGUAAAGUGUGGUACAUCUGCUCACCUCUGGAAGCAGAUAUCGUCAGUUUUCGCUCCUGGUGCGU